AAAGACUGUCAUUGUGAUGAAUGCAAGGAUCACAAUUUGAGUUAUAGAAGAAACAUAUAUUAUCAAGUUCCGGUCCAUCAGCAACAGCUCUCUAGCAAUGCAAGCUUUGAGUAGCUCCAGCUUGCUCACGCCAUAUAUUGAUGUAACCAGAGCAUCUGGGUGGCUCGUGCUCUUAUCAAACGGGAUAGCAAGUUCAUCCUUUAACUUCUGACCAGCAUGGAAAAACAAAAAUGCUUCUGUG
rnacentral:misc_RNA from 1 species